rnacentral:rRNA from 1 species
UAACCUGCCCAAGAGAUCGGGAUAACACCUGGAAACAGAUGCUAAUACCGGAUAACAACAGAUGAUGCCUAUCAACUGUUUAAAAGAUGGUUCUGCUAUCACUCUUGGAUGGACCUGCGGUGCAUUAGCUAGUUGGUAGGGUAACGGCCUGCCAAGGCGAUGAUGCAUAGCCGAGUUGAGAGACUGAUCGGCCACAUUGGGACUGAGACACGGCCCAAACUCCUACGGGAGGCAGCAGUA